GCCAGUGUGGCGUAGUGGUUUGAGCAUUGGACUAGGACUCUGGAGAGCAGGGUUCGAAUCCCUGCUCAGCCA
rnacentral:tRNA from 1 species